rnacentral:lncRNA from 10 species
GGCAGUUUAUUCAUUUUUGUAAAACACAAACCAACAUAUCCAUUAGCAAUAAAGUUGUAUAAUGAAAUAAUGAAUUACAUAAAAAUGCAUCAACAUUUUGCAGGAUUUCAUUUCUACAAAUUCAGAAAGGAAGCAUAAACUUAAUAUUAGGUUGGAAUAUAUACAGAUAUGAUAUAAUAGUUAUAUUUAAGAGGUAUAACGUGCUGAUCACAAAAAUCAAAGUAAAUUAGUGAUUGGCACUAGAGUAGAGAGAGAUGCACACGAUGGAGAAGAGAACAUGAAGAAGGAUUCUAAAGAACAGUGAUCUAUUGAUUAAUGAGGUUGAGAUAAAAUAAGUGCUUUCUUUUUAACUACAUUGUAAACUGUUUUAAACACAUAUUAAACACGUAUUUUCAUUCUCUUUUGUAUAUCAUUAAAUAAUUUUCUAUAAAAAAUUUAACUUUUGUCAUGUGUUAUACAGCACACACACUACACUAAUCUAUUGUAGGAUUCAUAUGAAUAUGACAUAUUUAUGUGUAUAUGGCACAGAUUUUACUGUGCCAGUUAGAAAUGAUAAAUGAUUCCAUGAAGGAACAGACAUUAAGUGGAAAAGUUCUGAAAAGGCAGUUUCAUUACUUAAAAAAUUCAAUAGUCUAAAGCUUCAAUUAACUUUGUAUAAAAUUAGUUUGAAUCUUACAAAGAGGGCUCCUACUGCGAGUCACGGUGGUCUCUCCUGUAACACAGGUAGGGAAGUACCCAAGGGAAUAAAAAAGGCACUGUGAUUAGAGAUUUCUUUUAACCUGGGGAAAAAUGCAAUUAUAAAAAACCGUAUUGAAAAGCUUUCCAAAACUCUGUGAAAGCUACAGCAUUCUCUGAAAGCAUGGAGAGAUAUUUUGCUUGCUUUUACUUAAAGUGCAUGACAGUCAGAGUCUGAUUCUGGGAGAGACCUGAUUUUUGUUUGGCUCAGCAGGCAAUUCAAUUAAAGCACACUGUUUAAUUUAAAAGGGACUGUUUAUAUACAGCGGUGGCCUUCUCUCAUUUAUGUGUAUUAAACUGUAGUACUUAUUUUUUACCUGUCUAUUCAAAAAAUACAUCGUUUUUUAAGGAGCUACAUUUUAUUGUGUUUUAUAAGAUUUCCUUUUCUAAAAAUGGCAACUUACUACAAUUUACAAGACCGCAUCAAAAAUGUUGCUUCUUUUGUUCAUAAGAUUAUCUCAUUGGUCAGAUUGUUUUAUGAUUUUCUAUUAUUAUUCCAGCUCAAAAUAUUUCUACAUGGAAGGUAUAAGACAGUUUACAAAAGAAAAGACUGAAAAGAAGCAAAUCAGUAUUUACCUUAUAUCACUAAUAUCUCAUUCAAAAUAGCUGUUUAAUUCUUACCCAAUCCAGAGGAGAGUGAUCACUGGUUACAUUAUGCUAAUUCUUUUCUGGGAAAACAUAAAUUAAUUAAUUUGCCUGGAUAACACCUGGAAUCUAGAUUAGACUAAAGUAAUAGAAAAGCAAACAUGAAAUCUUGAUAAAGUCCCACAUUGAUAUUGUAAACAAGUGGGUAAAGUUAGAUUAUUUUUAUUAUUUCCAGGUUAAAUAAUUUUUUAGGUAGCAUGUGAAAACUUGAGUUAAACAAGUUAUUGAAUGUGUUCUGUAUCUUUCUGAAAAGGUAAAGUAAUACAUUUUUAUAGAUUUACACAUAAUAUUGUACAUUGAGUACAAAGACCAUACAAUUUCACCUCUAUCUACUCAUUCUCUGCUUGCCCUGUAUAUCCUAGGAAAUGAAUAAAGUUAUUACAAAUCAAAUGACAGAAACCUCCAACAUCACUAAAAAUUAGGGAAGGUUAUUAUUCAACAGCCAGAAACAUUGACUGAAUUCAUUAUAUAUAAUGCAGAUGGGACAAGUUUGAUGGAAGACACGAGUAAUAGAUUUGUAAUUAUCCCCUCUUAGAAGCAGUAAUAUCAUUAUAUGGGAAAAAAGAAAAUGCCAUUAGAAAUGAAAUAAUAUCCAUAACUUAGAAAGGGCUGGAAAUGAGGUUAUUUGAGGCCCUUUGAAAUAACACAAGUAAACAUAAAAUCCACUGGAAUACUAUUUUACUACUAGGAAUCAGCCACAAUUGAAAUACUGGAAUUGGGAACAUUUGGGGAUUAAAGAAUCCACAGAGUUGACUCCACCUACUUCUUUCAGGCCACUCUAUCAAAGAUACAUUAAUAUAAAUUUAGAGCAAUUAGCAGAGCAUUACACAUUUUAGAGAAGAAUUUCUAGAAUUAUCAAACUAAAAAAUAAUGAAAAUUUUUAAAAUGUCUACUCAUCCCAUUGAUCUGUUUAGCAUCAGGUCAUCAUUGUGUUUUAUUUUUAUAAUUAAAGGAAUUGUAUACAAAUAGCAAAGUAAUAGAGCCAACAAGCUGAGACUGAUGAGAAGUAACCAACAACAAAAACAAAUAAAAAGAAAGGUAAGAAUGUACAAUUUCCUUCAAAAUAACGUUUCCUUGGAAACCCAGAGUGAGAUAAAAGAAGGUAAAAUAUUUUGCCUAGAAGAAUUAUUGGCAUUACCUUGAUCACAUAAAGCCUCUAUACAUAGGUAAUACUCAAUUUUUUCCUCCAUAUGAAGAGAAAUUAUUUCAUAUGAAUUUAUUAACUUUGGUAGCAGAAUUCUACUUUUUUCAAUUCACCUACUCAUCAUGAGGGCUUACAAAUGUGAUAGGAGGAGAAUUUCUAUGUCCUCAUUUGUCAAAGACCAUGUCUUCAUCAACCAUGACUUAUAAAUAGAACAUAAUAUCAUCAGUUUCAGAAAAAAAUAAAAUAAAAAAUAGCAUAUACUAAUGAUAAUAAUAACUCUUCACAAGGCCAAGCAUGGUGGCUCAUUUCUGUAAUCCCAUAACUUUGGGAGGCCAAGGCAGGAGGACAGCUUGAACCCCAGAGUUUAAGACCAUCCCAGGUAACAUAGGAGGACCCUAUCUAUACAAAAUAAAAGACAAUAAUAAUAAUAACCCUAGCCGGGCGUGGUGGCAUGAGUCUGUGGUCCUAGCUAUUUGGGAGGUUGAGGUAGGAGGAUUGUUUGGGCUCAGGAGGUCAAGGCUGCAGUGAGCUGUGAUAGCACCACUGCAAUCCAGCUUGGGUGACAGAGCAAGACCUUGUCUCAGAAAGAAAUAAAUAAAAAUAAAAACAAAACAAACAAAAAAAACUCUUCACAAAACAGAACUCUGUGUGUAUUUGAUUGUCUUAAAAUUUAUCUACUGGAAACCUAAAGUAAACAUCAAACUUAAUAUUGAAACGUAAGACUCAGAGGACCUGGGGCUUUCCCUAAGGAUCAGCAUCAUAUUGGAUAGUGGAGGAAUGAAUAAACUAAGUAAGAUAUGUUCAAUAACCAUAUACAAUUCUGAAAGUUCUCUGCCCUAAUUUUCACCCCAUUACUGAAUGUUCUCAUAAAGUAGCACAAAGCAAGGUUUAGUAACUCUUUCCUCAGAUAUGAGUUACUAAGUAAUUAUGUAAUAUGUAAACCAACAUGAUAAUCUUGCAAGAAGAAAACAGAUAUCUGAGGACCACAGCACCAUAAAAAAGUAACAAACUAAACAAUUAAAUUUAUAUACAGGCAAAACUACAAUUUUUAGAAAACAUAAUAAGUCUGCCCAGAAAAAUAAGAGAUGAGAUUACAAACUUGCGUCAGGAACAGGCAUUAUGAGACAUGGCCAAUUUAAGUACUGUGUAAAAAAUUUUAAUCCCUCAAGUAAAGAUCUCAGUAAAUACCUUACAAAGAAAUAUGAAUAUGAUCAACACAUGAAGUUAAUAAACUAGAUGAUAACAUAAGGAAGCUAUCAAAAUGGUAGCAUAAAUUUGAUGAGUCAUCAAAUAGAACAUAUAAAAAAGAUCAAAAUAUUUUAUGAUAUAAUAAAUAGAAUGUUCAGGAAUCAAUCAUAAAAAUGACAAGCAAGGCAAAUAAAGGCAAAACAAAUGCACACAUAUUAUAAAUAUUGGUUUUAAACUGAAGAAUCUCAAAGAAAACAUGACCAUUUCAUAUCCACUAGAUAAGAAAAAGUUCACUGAUGAGAGAGGAAUAAUACUAACUUCAAAUUUCUCCCUAGGUGACAUUCAAAAGCAGGUAAAUAUAUUAAUAGUUUUUUAAAUUGUUGAACAUAAUAUUUCAUAUAUAAGUAGAAUUAUAAUUUGAGUAUCUUGGCCAAUUCAAUAGGCUCUCCGAAACAAGUUUUAGGAAAGUUUAUUAUCCAAUGAUAUUUUUUCAAAACAUUCACAGAAAUGCUUCAGCAAGAAUAUAAAUAACUAUAAGCAGAAAACUAUAAUAUAGAAAAUGAUGACACUGAACAAGAACCCAGGUGCCCAGAGGCCAGGGGCUUGGAUGCUGCUGCAGGGCCCUCACAAAACCUGCUCCUGCCAGAGAGAAGCAACCAGCUGGUUUCCGUGUUCAUUCCUUCUGGUUCCAGUGCUUGCUUGCAUGCUCUGUUUCAUGAGGAGUGGCCAGUGGCAGGCUGAGUGAAAGGAGCUACUCCAAUUCCAUCCCACAAAGGCGGUCAAGGGAACAAUCCUGUCUCAUCUGAGGGCUCAUCCAGGAUACAAAAAAUUAAUAGGCAACCAACAAAUUCUACUGCCUUCAGUUUAUACUCAGAACCAGACCCUGGAACCAGAUAGUACUUUAGAGGAUCUCCUGAAGUUUGCAAGCCCACAAACCUGAGAUUUCCUUAGGGUCACCUGUUGAUUGCUACAGAUAUGGGUUCUUGUAAAAGAAACGCAGAAGGAGAAUUGAAACAGACAGAAGAGGAGAAGACACAGAAGAGAAGACAAGGUGAAGACGGAGGCAGAGAUGGGAGUGAUGUGGCCACACGCCAAGAAAUCCCAAGAAUGCCAUGAACCGUCAGAUGCUGGAAGAGGUGAGGAAUAAUUCUCUGAUUAAGCAUUGAAGUGGGCAUAGGGUCUUGAAGAGAUUUUAAUUUUUGAGUUAUUUUCUGUUUUUAGACACAAUUUUGUUUCACU